rnacentral:lncRNA from 1 species
GGGGAGGGGUUAAUGGUGGCCUGGGUUUCAGAUCUGAGGGGUUAAGGGAGUCUGGGUUUCAGGUCUGAGGGGAGGACUGAGGGGUUAAGGGGGGCCUGGGUUUCAGGUCUGAGGGGUUAAGGGGGGCCUGGGUUUCAGGUCUGAGGGGUUAAGGGGGGCCUGGGUUUCAGGUCUGAGGGGUUAAGGGGGCCUGGGUUUCAGGUCUGAGGGGAGGACUGAGGGGUUAAGGGGGCCUGGGUUUCAGACAGCUGCUGGGCCUCGUACUGAGAGAGGGAGGAAGAGAGAGAGAGUGACAAAAAGAGAGAGUGAGAAAGAGUACAGCAG